rnacentral:pre_miRNA from 1 species
AUGUAGGGCAAUCUGUCCUUAAGUAAGAGUAAAUUGUUCUUACUUAAUUACUCUUACUUUACUUAAGAGUAAAUUAAAGAGGGGGAAGGAAUUCUAGAUAGUUUUCCCUUCAAAUCAAGCAUCUAGU